GACUUGGCUGAAUAUCCCACUACCUAUCCUCCUAAACCUGGCAAUCCUCGACCUAUCCCUAUCCUCGUUUUCGUCGUUAACUUUCUCUUUCCCCUUCUCUUUCUGAUCAAUUUUGGUUUUCUCCUCCUCGUCAACACGAAUUCUCUUCGCCUUUGGUUGAAUUUCUGCGUCUUCUGCUUCCUCGUCAUCAUCCUUCGCCUCAUCUGGUUCAUCCUGGAAUUUCGUGAGAAUUGAAAACCCUUACUUUCGCACCUCCUCCGGAAAAUCAAAAUCGGAAGGAGAAAGUAAAAAACAAAGAGAUCUCAAUGAUGAAUCAAAGAGUGAAACAAAAGAAGUACCUGAUCGGAGAGGUCAGAGAGCAUUUCUGACUCUAGGAGCUGGGCUAAAAGAUCGUCUUCGUCGUCCCAAGUCGCCAUGAUUCAGGAGCGAAAGAGCGAUUUGAGAUCGGAAG
rnacentral:lncRNA from 1 species